rnacentral:misc_RNA from 1 species
ACUUUUGUGACAUAAACAGACUCAAGAGCAGGCUUACAAGCGUUAAUCAACUUUCUCCCACCGCGUAUUGCAUCAACCAAGUAGAUAGCGUCCGGAAAAGCAAGCUGCACAAUAUAGAGAGUUCCAUAUCUACAGAGGUCAACACCCUCGCAGUCAAGUCCAACAACCAUCUCAUUUUUUGGAGAAGGGUAGAGAAAUGUGGCUGGAAGUUGAG